GCAGUCGAACGAUGAAGCCCUUCGGGGUGGAUUAGUGGCGAACGGGUGAGUAACACGUGGGCAAUCUGCCCUUCACUCUGGGACAAGCCCUGGAAACGGGGUCUAAUACCGGAUAUUACUCCUGCCUGCAUGGGCGGGGGUUGAAAGCUCCGGCGGUGAAGGAUGAGCCCGCGGCCUAUCAGCUUGUUGGUGGGGUAAUGGCCCACCAAGGCGACGACGGGUAGCCGGCCUGAGAGGGCGACCGGCCACACUGGGACUGAGACACGGCCCAGACUCCUACGGGAGGCAGCAGUGGGGAAUAUUGCACAAUGGGCGAAAGCCUGAUGCAGCGACGCCGCGUGAGGGAUGACGGCCUUCGGGUUGUAAACCUCUUUCAGCAGGGAAGAAGCGAAAGUGACGGUACCUGCAGAAGAAGCGCCGGCUAACUACGUGCCAGCAGCCGCGGUAAUACGUAGGGCGCAAGCGUUGUCCGGAAUUAUUGGGCGUAAAGAGCUCGUAGGCGGCUUGUCACGUCGGAUGUGAAAGCCCGAGGCUUAACCUCGGGUCUGCAUUCGAUACGGGCUAGCUAGAGUGUGGUAGGGGAGAUCGGAAUUCCUGGUGUAGCGGUGAAAUGCGCAGAUAUCA
rnacentral:rRNA from 1 species